rnacentral:rRNA from 1 species
UACGGAGGGGGCUAGCGUUGUUCGGAAUUACUGGGCGUAAAGCGCACGUAGGCGGCUUUGUAAGUUAGAGGUGAAAGCCCGGGGCUCAACUCCGGAAUUGCCUUUAAGACUGCAUCGCUAGAAUUGUGGAGAGGUGAGUGGAAUUCCGAGUGUAGAGGUGAAAUUCGUAGAUAUUCGGAAGAACACCAGUGGCGAAGGCGACUCACUGGACACAUAUUGACGCUGAGGUGCGAAAGCGUGGGGAGCGAACAGG